UCAAAGUUCAAACACGUCGUUAGCCCUAAACCCCUUUCUACCGCCUACCAUCUUCUUCCCAAGUUUCAGCCCUAAACACAUCGAUCUCUCCUGCGCCAAUUCACGCCGACCAACGCCACUCGUUCCUUCCGCCGCCGUCGUCAUCUCAACAAUCAACGCAGCCACGAACCACAUUAUCUACCGCCUCCCUCGAAUCUUAAAAUCGUAGGUGUCCCUGCCGCCGCCGCCGCCCCAAUCUCCACCGGUCAGCAAGCAACGAAAAUCGACGCUGCUCUGAGCCUUUGUCCGAUCCCCCUAGCGUCGUGCUUCGCUGCUGCUUUGAGCUGCUGCUGUACUCCAGAAAUGCCGUUGCUCUGAAGCUUUCUCCGGUCGCCGCCACCGCUGCUCUGAGCCUUUGUUCGGUCGCCCUAGCUUACUCUGGUUUACCUUGCUGUACACCAGACGGCGAAUGUUGUAAUUGCUAACAUAUUAGACGAGGCAGGAGCAAAAGUAGCUGCUGAAAUCGAAGGGCAGGACUCUUCCGGUAUGCUCUUGACUUAGCCGCUGCUGUGAGGCUUUCUUUGGUCGCUGCUCCUUGAGGUUGAAGGAAUCCAUGGAAUUAUGAUGGCAUAUUCAAGUGCCUUUCUAAUGUUUCAUUAGCAGGACCAACAUUGUUCGGCCAUGUAGUUACACAGGCUGCACAGAUAGCUAGUGGAUCUGUUGCAAGAAAUGAAAGAAAGUAUUUCGUUUUGUUGAUUAUCACGGAUGGAGUGAUAACAGACCUACAGGAAACAAAGGAUGCCUUCGUUAUGGCAUCUGAUAUGCCAUUGUCAAUACUUAUUGUUGGGGUCGGGGGAGCUGACUUUAAAGAAAUGGAGAUAUUGGAUGCAAACAAAGGUGAGAGACUCGAAAGUUCAUCUGGGCGGGUUGCAUCACGUGACAUUGUCCAGUUUGUACCUUUCCGUGAUGUACAAUCUCUGUCCAUAUCCUAUUUUCUAUGGUAUUGUUUUAUGCAUGGUAGUUCUAUGCUAAUCCUUAAUUAAGGCUUGAUCAUUAUUUUUUAGACUGAUUUUAUUGGUGCAACAUUUGGUGUUGGGACUGGACUGCAUUUCUUCUUGUGCUAACAGCAAUAUGAUCAAUGGUAGCUUGGAAACAAAGUGGAAAAAAGCCGUAUUUAAUUGUUGAAGCUUGAAGAACAUUGCAUAUGUGGAACUUGAUUUUGAAACUUGUUAUAUUAGAUUUUGAAAUUUUUUUAAAUUCAUAGUUGAAACUUAGUGCAAGACAUUCUAGAUGAUUGUAAUGAAUGUUGUUGAUAAUUGAUUUUGUAAUUUGAUAUUUUUGUUUAUUA